UGUUUGGUGGCUGAGAUUUUAAGCGAUAGACUGUAGAUCUAUUUACGGAAUUAAAUUUUCCCAACAA
rnacentral:tRNA from 1 species